rnacentral:sRNA from 1 species
CCCUAGCCCAGAUUGCAAUGGAAAUCCUUUUUGUUUUUUUUGGAAUAAAGUUGGUUUGAAAGCAGGAUUUUUAUGUUGUUUGGUGUGUUUAUAAAAAAACGAUAAAAAAACAAAAAGAUUGAAAUGAAAAGCUGGAAAUAGC